rnacentral:tRNA from 1 species
CGGGGUGUAGCGUAACGGCAGCGCGCAUGCAUGGGGUGCAUGAUGACGGGGUUCAAUUCCCCGCACCCCGACCA